rnacentral:rRNA from 1 species
GGGAUUGCCCUAGUAACGGCGAGUGAAGCGGCAACAGCUCAAAUUUGAAAUCUGGCUCUUUCAGGGUCCGAGUUGUAAUUUGCAGAGGGCGCUUUGGCAUUGGCAGCGGUCCAAGUUCUUUGGAACAGGACGUCACAGAGGGUGAGAAUCCCGUACGUGGUCGCUAGCCUUUGCCGUGUAAAGCCCCUUCGACGAGUCGAGUUGUUUGGGAAUGCAGCUCUAAAUGGGAGGUAAAUUUCUUCUAAAGCUAAAUACUGGCCAGAGACCGAUAGCGCACAAGUAGAGUGAUCGAAAGAUGAAAAGCACUUUGGAAAGAGAGUCAAAUAGCACGUGAAAUUGUUGAAAGGGAAGCGCUUGCAGCCAGACUUGCCUGUAGUUGCUUAUCUGGACUUUUGUCCGGUGCACUCUUCUGCGGGCAGGCCAGCAUCAGUUUGGGCGGUUGGAUAAAGGUCUCUGUCAUGUACCUCUCUUCGGGGAGGCCUUAUAGGGGAGACGACAUGCAACCAGCCUGGACUGAGGUCCGCGCAUUUGCUAGGAUGCUGGCGUAAUGGCUGUAAGCGGCCCGUCUUGAAACACGGACCAAGGAGUCUAACAUCUAUGCGAGUGUUUGGGUGUCAAGCCCAGACGCGUAAUGAAAGUGAACGGAGGUGGGAACCCUUUGGGUGCACCAUCGACCGAUCCUGAUGUCUUCGGAUGGAUUUGAGUAAGAGCAUGGCUGUUGGGACCCGAAAGAUGGUGAACUAUGCUUGAAUAGGGUGAAGCCAGAGGAAACUCUGGUGGAGGCUCGCAGCGGUUCUGACGUGCAAAUCGAUCGUCAAAUUUGGGCAUAGGGGCGAAAGACUAAUCGAA